rnacentral:lncRNA from 1 species
ACACAUCCAUUCUCCAAACAUCCAUCCACUACACCCAUUACAUCCACUCAUUACCAAACACUCAUCCACUACACCCAUUACAUCCACCCACUACACCCAUUACAUCCACUGAUUACCAAAAACUACUCUACCAAACACUCAUCCACUACAUCCAUUACAUCCACUCAUUACCAAACAUCCACCCACUACACCCAUUACAUCCACUCAUUACCACAACCCACUACACCCAUUACAUCCACUCAUUACCAAACAUCCACCCACUACACCCAUUACAUCCACUCAUUACCAAACACUACUCAUUACCAAACACUCAUCCACUACACUCAUUACAUCCACUCAUUACCAAACAUUCACCCACUACACCCAUUACAUCCACUCAUUACAACUCCAUACACUCCUCUCCCUAGCCUAUAAAUACAUCCACCCUUCACCAUAAUUUGGGGGCCAUCAUCCAAAGACACUACAUUUCACAUCUCACAACUUCAUUCACAAACACAAUUUCCUUGCCGUGACCUUUAUCCAUUCAUCUAGCCAUACUACAUCUCACCAAUCCAUACACUUUCAUCUCUUAGCCGUGCAAAUCCAUUCCAUCCACAUAUCCAUACACAUCCUAGACAUUCAAUUAUCUAUUUUAUUCAUAACUGAUUCUUGUAUGUUUAUUAAGGAUGCAUACUUAGUUUUCAUG